AACUUUCAACAACGGAUCUCUUGGCUCUCGCAUCGAUGAAGAACGCAGCGAAAGGCGAUAAGUAAUGUGAAUUGCAGAAUUCAGUGAAUCAUCGAAUCUUUGAACGCACCUUGCGGUCUUUGGUAUUCCGACGAGCAUGCCUGUUUGAGUGUCGUGAUAGUAUCAACCUUGGCUUGGGUUUAGUGCUCUUGUGUUGGCUUGGGUUUGGCUGUUUGCCGCUCGCAAGAGUCGGCUCAGCUUAAAAGUAUUAGCUGGAUCUGUCUUUGAGACUUGGUUUGACUUGGCGUAAUAAGUUAUUUCGCUGAGGACAAUCUUCGGAUUGGCCGAGUUUCUGGGACGUUUGUCCGCUUUCUAAUACAAGUUCUAGCUUGCUAGACAUGACUUUUUUAUUAUCUGGCCUCAAAUCAGGUAGGACUACCCGCUGAACUUAAGCAUAUCAAUAAGCGGAGGCU
rnacentral:misc_RNA from 1 species